CAGAAAUGUAAUGAACCCACUUAGGAAUAUUCAUUUAAUCAUUUGACUACCAGAAAUGACUAUACUGCAUUGCAAAGAGAAUACUAAAGAAAAACUGUAGACUUGACUUUGAGGGAGGAGACAGACCUUAAAAAAGAGGAUGCUACAAGGAGUUCACGGUAAAUUUUCAAGAAGUAAUUCUUCCGUCCGGCUAUACCGAUGUUGUAUUUCCGGUUUUGUUGGCUUGUCUUGUUCCAGUUGAGGUGGUUGAUUCUGGGCUGUCUGCUCAUCCACAAUGGGGGCAUGAUGUUCUGUUGAUGGUUGGUCAACGCUGACAGAUGACAAUGUUUGUUAUAACUUACGUGGAGGAGUAGUGGGCAUCUCUCCACUUCCAGAGGCUGCUACUGGUGGGAUCCGAAUCCGAGUUACUAACACUGUUAAAUAUAG